ensembl:snoRNA SNORD115 Small nucleolar RNA SNORD115
GGGUCAAUGAUAAGAACUCGUAUUGUCUUUAAGACAGACAAUGACCUAAAAAUCAUGUACAAGAUAAUCACACUGAGGCUC